rnacentral:rRNA from 1 species
UUAAGCGACUAAGCGUACACGGUGGAUGCCCUGGCAGUCAGAGGCGAUGAAGGACGUGCUAAUCUGCGAAAAGCGUCGGUAAGGUGAUAUGAACCGUUAUAGCCGGCGAUGUCCGAAUGGGGAAACCCAGUGCAAUUCGUUGCACUAUCGUUAACUGAAUACAUAGGUUAACGAGGCGAACCGGGGGAACUGAAACAUCUAAGUACCCCGAGGAAAAGAAAUCAACCGAGAUUCCCCCAGUAGCGGCGAGCGAACGGGGAGCAGCCCAGAGUCUGAAUCAGCUUGUGUGUUAGUGGAACGGUCUGGAAAGUCCGACGGUACAGGGUGAUAGUCCCGUACACCAAAAUGCACAGGCUGUGAACUCGAAGAGUAGGGCGGGACACGUGGUAUCCUGUCUGAAUAUGGGGGGACCAUCCUCCAAGGCUAAAUACUCCUGACUGACCGAUAGUGAACCAGUACCGUGAGGGAAAGGCGAAAAGAACCCCGGCGAGGGGAGUGAAAAAGAACCUGAAACCGUGUACGUACAAGCAGUGGGAGCACCUUCGGGUGUGACUGCGUACCUUUUGUAUAAUGGGUCAGCGACUUAUAUUCUGUAGCAAGGUUAACCGUAUAGGGGAGCCGCAGGGAAACCGAGUCUUAACUGGGCGUUAAGUUGCAGGGUAUAGACCCGAAACCCGGUGAUCUAGCCAUGGGCAGGUUGAAGGUUGGGUAACACUAACUGGAGGACCGAACCGACUAAUGUUGAAAAAUUAGCGGAUGACUUGUGGCUGGGGGUGAAAGGCCAAUCAAACCGGGAGAUAGCUGGUUCUCCCCGAAAGCUAUUUAGGUAGCGCCUCGUGAAUUCAUCUUCGGGGGUAGAGCACUGUUUCGGCUAGGGGGUCAUCCCGACUUACCAACCCGAUGCAAACUACGAAUACCGAAGAAUGUUAUCACGGGAGACACACGGCGGGUGCUAACGUCCGUCGUGAAGAGGGAAACAACCCAGACCGCCAGCUAAGGUCCCAAAGUCAUGGUUAAGUGGGAAACGAUGUGGGAAGGCACAGACAGCCAGGAUGUUGGCUUAGAAGCAGCCAUCAUUUAAAGAAAGCGUAAUAGCUCACUGGUCGAGUCGGCCUGCGCGGAAGAUGUAACGGGGCUAAACCAUGCACCGAAGCUGCGGCAGCGACACUAUGUGUUGUUGGGUAGGGGAGCGUUCUGUAAGCCUGCGAAGGUGACCUGUGAGGGUUGCUGGAGGUAUCAGAAGUGCGAAUGCUGACAUAAGUAACGAUAAAGCGGGUGAAAAGCCCGCUCGCCGGAAGACCAAGGGUUCCUGUCCAACGUUAAUCGGGGCAGGGUGAGUCGACCCCUAAGGCGAGGCCGAAAGGCGUAGUCGAUGGGAAACAGGUUAAUAUUCCUGUACUUGGUGUUACUGCGAAGGGGGGACGGAGAAGGCUAUGUUAGCCGGGCGACGGUUGUCCCGGUUUAAGCAUGUAGGCUGAUUGUCCAGGCAAAUCCGGAUAAUCAAGGCUGAGGUGUGAUGACGAGGCACUACGGUGCUGAAGUAACAAAUGCCCUGCUUCCAGGAAAAGCCUCUAAGCAUCAGGUAACAUCAAAUCGUACCCCAAACCGACACAGGUGGUCAGGUAGAGAAUACCAAGGCGCUUGAGAGAACUCGGGUGAAGGAACUAGGCAAAAUGGUGCCGUAACUUCGGGAGAAGGCACGCUGGUGUGUAGGUGAAGCCCCUGCGGGUGGAGCUGAGACCAGUCGAAGAUACCAGCUGGCUGCAACUGUUUAUUAAAAACACAGCACUGUGCAAACACGAAAGUGGACGUAUACGGUGUGACGCCUGCCCGGUGCCGGAAGGUUAAUUGAUGGGGUUAUCCGUAAGGAGAAGCUCUUGAUCGAAGCCCCGGUAAACGGCGGCCGUAACUAUAACGGUCCUAAGGUAGCGAAAUUCCUUGUCGGGUAAGUUCCGACCUGCACGAAUGGCGUAAUGAUGGCCAGGCUGUCUCCACCCGAGACUCAGUGAAAUUGAACUCGCUGUGAAGAUGCAGUGUACCCGCGGCAAGACGGAAAGACCCCGUGAACCUUUACUAUAGCUUGACACUGAACAUUGAGCCUUGAUGUGUAGGAUAGGUGGGAGGCUUUGAAGCGUGGACGCCAGUCUGCGUGGAGCCAACCUUGAAAUACCACCCUUUAAUGUUUGAUGUUCUAACGUUGGCCCCUUACCGGGGUUGCGGACAGUGUCUGGUGGGUAGUUUGACUGGGGCGGUCUCCUCCCAAAGCGUAACGGAGGAGCACGAAGGUUAGCUAAUCCUGGUCGGACAUCAGGAGGUUAGUGCAAUGGCAUAAGCUAGCUUGACUGCGAGCGUGACGGCGCGAGCAGGUGCGAAAGCAGGUCAUAGUGAUCCGGUGGUUCUGAAUGGAAGGGCCAUCGCUCAACGGAUAAAAGGUACUCCGGGGAUAACAGGCUGAUACCGCCCAAGAGUUCAUAUCGACGGCGGUGUUUGGCACCUCGAUGUCGGCUCAUCACAUCCUGGGGCUGAAGUAGGUCCCAAGGGUAUGGCUGUUCGCCAUUUAAAGUGGUACGCGAGCUGGGUUUAGAACGUCGUGAGACAGUUCGGUCCCUAUCUGCCGUGGGCGCUGGAGAAUUGAGGGGGGCUGCUCCUAGUACGAGAGGACCGGAGUGGACGCAUCACUGGUGUUCGGGUUGUCAUGCCAAUGGCACUGCCCGGUAGCUAAAUGCGGAAGAGAUAAGUGCUGAAAGCAUCUAAGCACGAAACUUGCCCCGAGAUGAGUUCUCCCUGAGACUUUAAGUCUCCUGAAGGAACGUUAAAGACGAUGACGUUGAUAGGCCGGGUGUGUAAGCGCAGCGAUGCGUUGAGCUAACCGGUACUAAUGAACCGUGAGGCUUAACCUU